UCACAGCUAAGGGACCUCGGCUCGAAGGACCACCCAGGCCGUGCCUGGGGCCCAAUGCUGGAAAUCCCGGGAGUGGACACAUGCAGUAUGUGUCCGGCGUCCCCAGAACGACACGGAGAUGGACUGGCUUGCGGGGGACCCCAUGCCCUCUUCCCCAACACGAGGAGCCUCGGGAUCCAUUUUCACUGCUGCAGGCACAGGGGCCUCCUCAGCCCCUCCUCAUCUGCUGUUCCUGUUUCGUCCUCUUCCUGCCUCGUGCUUUGUUGAUGUUCCGCAAAUUAUUUAGAUGUGUAAAUGGAAUAAAUGGAAAAUAACUCUCA